GUGUGAAUUAAAUGUGUCUAUUACAGGGGUCUACAUGUCAGGAUACCUGGUGUGAAUUAAGUAGGUCUACACAGGGGUCUACACAUCAGGACACCCAAUGUGAAUUAAGUAGGUCCAUCACAGGGGUCUAUACAUCAGGACACCUGGUGUGAAUUAAGUAGGUCUACACAGGGGUCUACACGUCAGGACACCCAGUGUGGAUUAAGUAGGUCUAUCACAGGGGUCUAUACAUCGGGCACUCAGUGUGAACUGAGCAGGUCUCCACAGGG